CCCAUGUCAACUUAGUGUUUUUUGUUUACACGCGAUACGGACACCAGUCUCUAUACUGCUUUGGAAAUGAGAAGAAGGAGCAAAACGGGAAGAGAAAAGAGAGUAACGCCUGAAUUUGAUGAGUAUUGGAGACGAAAAUUUAUACCCCCAAAUUCAGGUCAUUACAGUAGCAAAAGUGAUUCCUGCAGUAGCGGCGAGCGAAAUGGGAGCUGCCUAAACCGUGAAAACCGAGUUGUGGGAGAGCAAUACAAGCGUUGUGCUGCUAGGUGAAGCGGUUGAGUGCCGCACCCUGGAUGGCUAAAGUCCAGUAGCCGAAAGCAUCACUAGCUUACGCUCUGACCCCCAAUGAGUAGUGAAAUGGGGCACGUGGAAUCCUGUGUAAAUCAGCAAGGACCACCUUUCAAGGCUAAAUACUCCUGGGUGGCCGAUAGUGAAGUAGUACCGUGAGGGAAAGGUGAAAAGAACCCCCAAUGAGUAGUGAAAUGGAACGUGAAA
rnacentral:ncRNA from 1 species